CCUACGGGGGGCAGCAGUGGGGAAUAUUGGACAAUGGGGGAAACCCUUAUCCAGCGACGCCGCGUGAGGGAAGAAGGUUUUCGGAUUGUAAACCUCUGUCAGUGGGGACGAUAAUGACGGUACCCACGGAGGAAGCCACGGCUAACUACGUGCCAGCAGCCGCGGUAAUACGUAGGUGGCAAGCGUUGUCCGGAAUUACUGGGUGUAAAGGGAGUGUAGACGGCAGCGCAAGUCUGGAGUGAAAUGCCGGGGCUCAACCCCGGAACUGCUUUGGAAACUGUGCAGCUAGAGUGCGGGAGAGGUAA
rnacentral:rRNA from 1 species